AGGCACUAGAGAUAUGCCGCCUCUAUGAACUUGAUACCGUGAGCACAGCCAUCGCCAGGGCUGUUGGUGUUCAUAGUUUAAAGCAUGGAAAGAAGGGCCAAGGGAUAAUGUGGCUUCGAUUGGCCCGAGACGAGCAGAGGCUUUCUACUCUUGCGGAUCAGAUUUUGGACACAAUAACGUCUGGUGAAGCUGAUAAUCUGGAUAAUCUCGAGCAUUUUGAGGGUCUCUGUGACAUCCUUGGCUCGGGAGCAACGAAGCAUCAAGGCCUGUCGUUCUU